ensembl:lncRNA
GGAAUGGGAAAGUGUGUGAGAGCAUAUGCUGGCAGGCUCCCAGCCUGAGUAGCCUAUUUUUGAACAAGCACUGGAGCUGUGCUGGGAGUGUUGGGUUAACUGUGGCUACAGUUACACUAGGUGCAUAACAUUUGUACUGUCAGAGGAAACGCGCACAUGUUAGGACAGUUUUGGAUGGUCAGCGGCAGGAACCGAUACUACACGUUUCCUAAAUACGUUCGGUUUUAUGGGUCCUUGCAUUUGUGAAAAGGGCACAAGAAGAUUUUAUACUGCGAGUUUCCAGGAGUUUGGAAUCAUUCAGCCUCUAAUCCAGGAUCAGUUACCUUAAAUCGAACGAGUCCAAUAAAAAUCACGGCCUGUUGUUCUACUCUAAGAACAGAUUUCCACACAGACCACGUUUUUCAAUUUAAGCAAGUGUUUAGGUCAUCGGGCUUUUUCAGCAGGGUUAACGGUACCAAAGGGACAGUGCCACAGUCACCCUGGUCACUUUUCCCCAGCUCAUCGAGCAUUUUGCAGAAUUUUGUGCAUCUGUGUUGCAUUGGCCUCACUUCAGGCAGCACGUACUCCUGGCUGCACAGCAGCCAGCUAUGCAGGCAGCGCCACUCAGUACACAGUGUGCUUCUCAUUGUCCAACCCCAGGAAUGUGCUGACGACGCAGGGUUCACACUGGUUCAGUCACACUGUUGCACUCUUCCCUCUGGCCCCGUCAGCCUCUCAUGCUCGCCCUCGGCUAUUUUUACAUCCUAAACCUUUUUAAAGUUUGUCAGUUAUGCAAACUUUUUCAGUUAUGAUAAUACCCACACCAGUAGGAGUGUUAUUCAAAGGAAAAAAGGAAGUGCAACCACACCUAAAACUGUUCAAUAAGUCAUCGGUUUGAGGUGAUGGCGUGGAUGCGUAGCCCCUUAACACACAGGAAGUGGGAGUCGAGUGGGGGAAAGCUUUUGUGCAUCUCGGGCUCGCAGCCAAAAAGUCCAAAUGCCAAGGAGGGGAAGCCAUUGAAGCCAGAGCCAAGGGGCCUGAAAAAUUAUUACUUCCCACCUCGUCUGAGAGCAAACACACUGCAGGAAAUUAGGUAGACGAGGGAGAAUUUAUUCAGUGAAAAGAAACCGUUUCGUCUGCCUGACCACGGCUCAUAAAUUCACGUGGGAAUACCAAGUGACUCACAGGCUACGGUCCAAUAAAGACAAGUAUUUACCUAUUUAUCAGAGUGACGCCAUGUUGGCCCUUUUAUUUAAUUCUGACGGACAAAUAAUCUUCAGAAUUCCAGGUUUCCGAUGAUUUUGGGCGACAACACUCAAUUCCAGUGAUGUCUCGUCCACGGUCAGUGAACUGUGUCAAAGUGGCAGAGAGUGAAUCGUGCCUCUCUUCCCAAAGUGAUCAUUCAUUAUGCAGAAAGCAGGAGAAUGUGCACAUCCACCAUCUCAACACUAAUCCUGCACAACUGCAACAAAUCUCUGCACAAUGAGUUGCAUCAUAUAUUCCCGACCUCGCUAACCGGUUUCAGUUCCCCUCCAAAUCAAAACCUCAACCUACAUAAAGCGGCUCGAUUCAACGUGAAAAGAGGAUGCAGAACAAAUAAAACACGCUGUUCCAAAUCUCUUCUUCACUUUUGUGGGGAAGCAGUCAAAACGGGAGAGAAAGACGGAGCGCGAGACAGACACACAGAGAGCAUUAAUAAAACAUGACUGCAUGAUUUUCCAACCUCAAAGAGGCGAACACAGGAAGGCGCACUCCCAGAGCAGUAGCUGAGGUUCAGCGCAGGGCUGAACGUGACAGCAGCGCCGGCUCAGCGCAGACACUCCAGUUUUCUCGGUAGUUUAGUGAAAACGAAGACGAUGGCGCUCAUCGUGUCUGCGGGGCUAUUAAAGGAAACCACAACCUUUGCAUCACCGCCUCUCCUCGCUCGCUCCUGCCGGCUUCUCGUCACUCGAGGUUGCACGCCAACAAGGGUGGUAACGUGCUUUGGCAUGGAGGUGCUCCACGCAGGCCAAGACAAACACAGCAGCGCACACUGACAGACACCGAGGCUUGUGAAACAGCACAGCUUGUCGUUUUUGUGGGAAAUUACCUUCAAAGUUAAUAUUUCUCACCUUUAUAACCACAUAACACAGAAACGACCGGCACACCUGACGUUAGAGCAGUUUUAGGGAAGACGUGUCUCUGUGUGAGACAAAUAUGGAUUUUUCAAAAGCUCUUUACUACCCGACAGGUAAUAAUUUAACAUGUACUGCAUGUCUCAUUAAAGAGCUGCAAUAAGCAGACAGUAACUAUCCAGCUGCUCAGAGUUUGAGGUAGUUUAAUUCGAGCGCUUCGACAGACACCUUCCCUUAAACUGCUGUAUGAUUGCAGCAAAUAAUCUAACGUCAAAAUAAAAAAGACAUCUGACACUCGUGACCACAAAACGGCAACUUCCCCAAAAAAGCUGUGAAAAUAUCAGUUUUUUAAAAACGACUCGUAUUUAAUGAUACUUUUGGGAUUUUAACCCUUUAUAGAACAGCAUGUUUGCACACCCGUACAGCUGCUGAUGUUUAUUAUUAAAACUAAAAUUAUUUCAAUAAGUAGUAUAGGAUUCUUGAGAUAGGUCAUUGGCAGCAACAUUUCAUAUAUUAUUACAAUAUUAACCCUUUAAAGAGGGACUCCAGCUGAGGUGGAGCAAACGCACAGGCUGGUCUUUGCAUGGAAGCUUCCGGCGCUGCUGCCAGCUCUGCUCUUUCUGUCCGUGCAAAAGUAACACCGCUGAUGAGAGGGGCUCGCAGCAGCACCCUGCAGAUUUAAACGGAUUCAUUUUUUGACCUGUUAACACAAACGCAGUUAGUCUGUGUCCACAUAACCCACUGAGUGAGUCCCGUGCAGGUUUGUCAUGGCCACAGUUUGCUGCAGGAUUUCAUGCAUCAGCAGCAGUGCAGAGCUGUGGCAGGAGGUGUACGUCCCAGGAUCAAACCUCUGGCUGCUGGGACAUCGCAGGGCGUUGCAGUCUGAGUGCGAGACCAAAACAUGGAGAUGGAGAAGUCCAUCCUGUCACUGAGUCAGGGUUGGACUCUAGCUGGUCUGUUUCUACCUGGCAAAUACGAGUUAUAGUCAUUUAGCACAGACAAAAUAGCACGAAGAUAAACCACACAAUGUCUCCGGGAUCAUCCGAGGCUGAAACAAAUAAAUAUCAGAUAAAUGCAGAACUGCCCACUGUAAGAAACCACUACAGUGAGGUCAGGUCUGUCAAAGACCUAAAUCGGAUGAGAUAAGCCGCAUAUUCUAAUUAUGUUAGCUAUAAGCUUUGUAAUAACCAGAUACUCCAGCCUUUUUAUUUAGCUAGAAAUUGUUCACUCAUUAGCUAAUAUUAUCUACAGAGCUAGCAGUAGCUACGACCCAACAUACACCGUCUGAUGAGCUAACGAUAUCAUCCCAGGUAAACAAUGUUUCCCCAGAAGAUCUGUUAUCAAUGAUUUUACCUACUCAGCUAGCAACCACAGGCUAAUGAAGUACAGUACAGUAGCUAACUUCAUGGCUAUCGUUUCUGCAAUGCUAGCAUAUAGUAACAUUUAAAAGAAAGCAAUGCUAAUAAACUCAAUGUUUAUUGAUAGAGUUAACCAAAGAAACAGCACACACGCUAAUUUUGCUGACACAUUGCAACUAGCUUCUCAAGUAUUCUGCUGACUAUUAGCAAAACAAACUGAAAGACUGACACUCUGUAACAUUAACAGUCAAAAAAGCAACAUUGAUUCAGAUAAAUUCAGCUUAUUCAGUUGAAGGCGGCGUUAAUUCACAACUAUUCAUGUCUAAAAAUGUUAUUCAUCUCUUCAAGUCCUCGACUGAAAGAGAGAAAAUGCUACGGAGGACCAGACAGAAACAGCGAGCGACUGUAUUUGAUCAGGAUGAAAAUAUGAUGACAAAGCUGUGGCUCAAUAGAUCUGGACAGACAAGUGUUACUCUAAUCUAUAUUUUGAAAAUGAUCUCUUAAGUUUGUCAUUUCCCCGUCUGUGAUAAUAAAAAUGUCAUCACGUA